rnacentral:rRNA from 1 species
UAAUCACUUUAUCAUUACUUUGAAUAAAAUAGAGUGUUUAAAGCAAAACAUUAAGUUAAUGAAUAUCCAAGCAUGGGACAAUGCUGAGGGGAUGUCUUCGGACAUUUCGAGAGAAGGAUUAAAAGGAACAAUUGGGGUGAUUCAGAAAAUAACGGGAGAGGUGAAAUUCCAUGAUCGCUAUAAGAUGCACGAGAGCGAAAGCAUUUCACUCAACUGGGUCCAUUAAUCAAGAACGAAAGUUAGGGGAUCGAAGACGAUCAGAUACCGUCGUAGUCCUAACUAUAAACGAUGUCAACCAAGGAUUGGAUGAAAUAAAGAAAUUCGCGGAUGAAGAAACAUUGUUUCGGAAACCAAGAGUUUCACAACUACCUUGUUCAGAACUUAAAGAGAAAUCUCGAGUUUAUGGACUUCAGGGGGAGUAUGGUCACAAGGCUGAAACUUAAAGGAAUUGACGGAAGGGCACACCAGGAGUGGAGCCUGCGGCUUAAUUUGACUCAACACGGGAAAACUUACCAAGACCGAACAGUAGAAGGAAUGACAGAUUAAGAGUUCUUUCAUGAUUUAUUGGGUAGUGGUGCAUGGCCGUUCUUAGUUGGUGGAGUGAUUUGUCAGGUUAAUUCCGGUAACGAACGAGACUGAAACCUAUUAAUUAGUUUCCUGCCUAUACGACAGGAAUCUCCGCAAGGUCAGGUGCCUCGGUACCACUUCUUAAAGGGACACAUUUCAAUUGUCU